rnacentral:rRNA from 1 species
UUUUCGGUUGAUCCCGCCGGACCCGACUGCUAUCAGAGUGGGACUAAGCCAUGCGAGUCAACGUAGCAAUACGUGGCAUACGGCUCAGUAACACGUAGUCAACAUGCCCAGGGGACGAGGAUAACCUCGGGAAACUGAGGAUAAACCUCGAUAGGCCAUGAUUUCUGGAAUGAUUCUUGGCUCAAACCUAUAUGGCCCCUGGAUUGGACUGCGGCCGAUCAGGCUGUUGGUGAGGUAAUGGCCCACCAAACCUGUAACCGGUACGGGCUCUGAGAGGAGGAGCCCGGAGAUGGGCACUGAGACAAGGGCCCAGGCCCUAUGGGGCGCAGCAGGCGCGAAACCUCUGCAAUAGGCGAAAGCCUGACAGGGUUACUCUGAGUGAUUUCCGUUAAGGAGAUCUUUUGGCACCUCUAAAAAUGGUGCAGAAUAAGGGGUGGGCAAGUCUGGUGUCAGCCGCCGCGGUAAUACCAGCACCCCGAGUGGUCGGGACGUUUAUUGGGCCUAAAGCAUCCGUAGCCGGUUCUACAAGUCUUCCGUUAAAUCCACCUGCUUAACAGAUGGGCUGCGGAAGAUACUAUAGAGCUAGGAGGCGGGAGAGGCAAGCGGUACUCGAUGGGUAGGGGUAAAAUCCGUUGAUCCAUUGAAGACCACCAGUGGCGAAGGCGGCUUGCCAGAACGCGCUCGACGGUGAGGGAUGAAAGCUGGGGGAGCAAACCGGAUUAGAUACCCGGGUAGUCCCAGCUGUAAACGAUGCAGACUCGGUGAUGAGUUGGCUUCUUGCCAACUCAGUGCCGCAGGGAAGCCGUUAAGUUUGCCGCCUGGGGAGUACGGUCGCAAGACUGAAACUUAAAGGAAUGGGCGGGGGAACCAC